ensembl:lncRNA
UUGGCUUUUGUUCUGGAUAGCUUAGCUGACCACCGGAAAUACCAAAGGUGACCAAACAGGCACAAUCCAUUUUUGUUAUUUAAGCUUUAUUUAGGCAGGGUGGAGUCCAAUUGAGAGGUCUCUUUUACAAGGGUCACUGCAUGACAAAAAAAGUACCCAAUCAAGGCAGCAUAGGAAAUACACAAAGAAACAUACAAAAAACACAAUAAUAAAAAAUAAAAAAACUAGCCACAACCAUGCCCUCUCAUGCAGUUCAACUUCAUAGCCAGAGCCAGGAGGUUCCCUGAUCAUGUGAUCGGAUCUGUAAAACUCUGGGCUCUAUAACUGUUCAUUCAUAGAAUACAGUGACACCAGAAAAAUGCCUAAUGCUCAGUCAAAAGUAACCUGGAGAUUAUUUCACACUAACCCACUCUCUUUCCCUAACUCUCUCACACUCUCUAGCAUCAAGGGUUGCAGUCAAAGAACAUUUCUGUUUCCCCAUUCCCCUUUAAUGGUUUUAUUAGAAGUGGGGAUAAUGUGUGAUUAGGGAUGGGACCCCAUCCUUUUAGAGCUUUAAUAAUCCACAGUAGCUAGUGCAGCAGAGCUAGAUGACACACAUGGGCCCGCUGCCUUUGUCUGGGAGGGAGAACAUGAUUAUUAAUAAACUAUUCACAUCGUUGGAAGGAGAAUGGGAAGAGGAGAAGCUGGUGAAGGCAGCAGUCAGCUAGCCAGCCAGUUGACUGCUGACGGUAAUUAAACUCAUGGUAUUAAAAGUGUGCCGCGUCUCCUCCAGGAAGAGAGAGAGGAGAAGAUCUGCUGUGAUACCUUUCCGCCCCCCUCUAUUUCUCUCUCCACCACCACCGCUCCCCUCCGCUUUCAGGGGGAAAUUAUAACCUAGCAUGCACACUUUAAUAUUUCAGCAUCUAAGUGAGUGUGACAGCCUCUCUUUGUGUCAUUCUCCCCUCCCACUCUUUCCCUCCUCCGUCCCUCAUUCCCUAAUUCCCUCCUUCUCUUCCUCCACCUUCUCUUCUCAUCUCGUUUGCUUAGCGUUCUCAAUGGCUGAACUCUUUUAUCAUGUGACGGGAAUGAGAGAUGAAGAAAAACAAAAACAAAUCAAACUCAAAAGCAGAAAAAACACGGAGGUAUCAGGGCGUGCUCUGCUCGGCGAGAGCGUCUCAGUCUCUCUGUGAGGUUAACCACGCCACAUUGCUGUGGCCAACCUAAAGUGAGGAGAUGUAUAUUACCCCUCGUCCCUGUCCCCGUCCCUCUCCACCCUAUCUGCAAUGUCAGGAUGAGGAACCAGGAAGUGAUAUCUUCUUCAGAGAGGGUUAGACUGAUACAGAGGUACAGCUGGGGAUGGGUGAGGUGGGGUGGGGGGGUUUGUAGUGGAGUACACAGGCAAGAUUCAGUUACGUCACAGCUUUGGGUUUUGUUCCGAGCCUGACAACAUGUCACCUUCGAUCUCUCAGCAGACUCCUGUUUGUGAAAGUACAGUACACACUUAGAAAAAAAUAAGCUAUUUAGAACCUAAAGGGGUUCUUCCACUGUUCCCAUAGGAGAACCAUUUGAGGAACCCUUUUUGGUUCCAGGUAGAACCCAUUUAGUUCCCUGUUGAACCUUUUCCACAGAGGGUUCUACAUGGAACCAAAAAGGGUUUUACCUGAAACCAAAAAGGUUUCUACCUGGAACCAAAAAGUGUUCUGCUAUGGGCACAGCCAAAGAAACCUUUUGGAACCCUUUUUUCUAAAAGUGUAGGUGGAAGUUAGGAUGGUUGGAUUAUUAGGUGAACUUACCUCAAGACGGAAUCAUCUCUACAGCCACAGACAGCAGAGAAAGCCAGCCAAUCCAUCUUCUACUGUAUAUGUAUGACACAGACCAGAACCAACCUGAAUGUGAGAUGUAUAGCCAAACCUUUAUGCAUGUGUGUGUCUAAGCUGAAUGUGAGAUGUAUAGCCAAACCAUUAUGCAUGUGUGUGUCUAAGCUGAAUGUGAGACGUGAAUGUGAGAUGUGAAUGUGAGAUGUAUAGCCAAACCAUUAUGCAUGUGUGUGUCUAAGCUGAAUGUGAGAUCUGAAUGUGAGAUGUAUAGCCAAACCAUUAUGCAUGUGUGUGUUUAAGCUGAAUGUGAGAUGUAUAGCCUACCUGUAUGUGUGUCAGUGUGUAUAUGUGCAUAUAAACUGAAUGUGAGUGAGAUGUAUAGCCUAACCAUUAUGCAUGUGUGUGUCUAAGCUGAAUGUGAGAUGUAUAGCCUACCUGUAUGUGUGUCAGUGUGUAUAUGUGCAUAUAAACUGAAUGUGAGUGAGAUGUAUAGCCUACCUGUAUGUGUGUCAGUGUGUAUAUGUGCAUAUAAACUGAAUGUGAGUGAGAUGUAUAGCCUACCUGUAUGUGUGUCAGUGUGUAUAUGUGCAUAUAAACUGAAUGUGAGUGAGAUGUAUAGCCUACCUGUAUGUGUGUCAGUGUGUAUAUGUGCAUAUAAACUGAAUGUGAGUGAGAUGUAUAGCCUACCUGUAUGUGUGUCAGUGUGUAUAUGUGUAUAUAAACUGAAUGUGAGUGAGAUGUAUAGCCUACCUGUAUGUGUCAGCUGAAUUUUAGAGCAUGUUAUUAAUGGUCAAGGGACUGGAAGAGGCUGCAAAAUGUCUGUGUUCAUAGCCACAAUGAUACAAAUCAAUUAUUCACCAGUCAGUCAAUUGUUGGUAUAAUAUUUGAGAAUUCAUACUCAAUUAAUAUGUUUUUCAAAAUGAAAGCUUUAUACAUUAUCAGGAAAUCCUUUCCACACAAAGAAUAAAUAAAUAUUUAUUUUGAAGAUUCUAAAAUAAAUAAGAUCAUUGAACUAAGGUACAUGUACGUGUUUGUCAAACAGACACAAAUACACACAUGCACACACACACACACACACACACACACACACACACACACACACACACACACACACACACACACACACACACACACAUAGCAGAAUUGAUCAUAUAAUUUACUCCUCUCUAUUAUGCUACAAUGAUAUUGAUCAAAUAAUUCCUAGAGCAGGAUUCAGACUGCCAAAAUGGCAAAACUGUUCUUGCUGUACUUAAGCAUGUUCCAUAAUGGCUUUCUUAUUGAUCAUCUCUCCCAUCUUCCCUCUGCAUGCAAACAAGUCCUUUUCAUAGGACUAUAGAGUGAACAGCACAAACAAGAAAUGGCUCAUGGCACAUGUUUGUGUGUUCAUCAAAUAAUUAAGUAACUGAAGUGGCCCUCUCAUCCGACUCCUCAGAAUAGAAACAAAUUGUGGGCACUCACUCCUGCUGUAAUUUAGAAACAAUUUGAAGAUUACGGCAACUGAAAGGCAAUUUGACCCCAUUUUCCUAUAGCUAAGGCUCCUGUGCUUAAUUUCCUUCCUGUGUACUUCUGCUGUAGGGCUCCUGAGAGGCCUGAGGCAGAGGAGACCGGGAGGGAGGGAGGAGCAGAGGAGAGGUGAGAGGAGCAGAGGAUAGAGGGGAGGGAGGAGCAGAGGAGAGUCUCUCUCUGUCUCACACUCCAGAGGCUCUCUAGAUGAGCAAUAGACACUGACAAUCACACUGUCCAGCAAAAACAACCCUUCCCCCUAUACCCCCACCCCCAACAAUCAUGACUCCCUACCUUGCCCCUAUACCUCCACCCCAACCACCAUGCGUCCCUACCUUGCCCCUAUACCUCCACCCCAACCACCAUGCCUCCCUACCUUGCCCCUAUACCUCCACCCCAACCACCAUGCCUCCCUACCUUGCCCCUAUACCUCCACCCCAACCACCAUGCCUCCCUACCUUCCCCUUACACUCUCAGGAAAAGGGUUCCAAAAUGGUUCUUUGGCUGUCCCUGUAGGAGAACCCUUUUUGGUUACAAGUAGAACUAUGUUGGGUUCCAUGUAGAAUCCUCUGUGUAAAGGGUUCUAAAUAGAACCCAAAAGGGUUCUACCUGGAACCAAAAAGGGUUCUUCAAAGGGUUCUCCUAUAGGGACAGCUGAAGAACCAUUUUAGUUUCAACAUAGUACCUUUAUUUCACACCUCCCUACCUACCCCUCAUACCUCCACCCCCAACCAUCACACCUCCCUACCUAUCCCUUAUACCUCCACCCCCAACCAUCACACCUCCC